AUUUCUGGCAAAUCGGAAAACCGGCAAUUUGUCGAUUUGCCGAAUUUGCCGGAAAAAAAAUUGCCGAACGGCAACUGCGCCCUGGUAAGGUGCAUAGCUUUGGCCUCUAACAUAAAAAAAUUUGUCUA
ensembl:ncRNA Y65B4BR.11 ncRNA